AUUGAACGCUGGCGGCAGGCCUAACACAUGCAAGUCGAGCGGAUGAAGGGAGCUUGCUCCUGGAUUCAGCGGCGGACGGGUGAGUAAUGCCUAGGAAUCUGCCUUGUAGUGGGGGAUAACGUCCGGAAACGGGCGCUAAUACCGCAUACGUCCUGAGGGAGAAAGUGGGGGAUCUUCGGACCUCACGCUAUCAGAUGAGCCUAGGUCGGAUUAGCUAGUUGGUGGGGUAAAGGCCUACCAAGGCGACGAUCCGUAACUGGUCUGAGAGGAUGAUCAGUCACACUGGAACUGAGACACGGUCCAGACUCCUACGGGAGGCAGCAGUGGGGAAUAUUGGACAAUGGGCGAAAGCCUGAUCCAGCCAUGCCGCGUGUGUGAAGAAGGUCUUCGGAUUGUAAAGCACUUUAAGUUGGGAGGAAGGGAAGUAAGUUAAUACCUGGCUGUUUUGACGGUACCAAAAGAAUAAGCACCGGCUAACUUCGUG
rnacentral:rRNA from 1 species